UGGAGGGCAAGUCUGGUGCCAGCAGCCGCGGUAAUUCCAGCUCCAAUAGCGUAUAUUAAAGUUGUUGCAGUUAAAAAGCUCGUAGUUGAAUUUCGGGGUUCUACCGUUGGUCGGGCUUUGUCUGUACUGGUGUGUAGAAUUUCUACCUUCUGGGGAACCAUCAUGCUAUUAAUUUAGCGUGGUGGGAAACCAGGACCUUUACCUUGAAAAAAUUAGUGUGUUCAAAGCAGGCUUAUGUCUGAAUACAUUAGCGUGGAAUAAUAGAAUAGGACGGUGGUCCUGUUUUGUUGGUUUCUGAAUCACCGUAAUGAUUAAUAGGGAUAGUUGGGGGCAUUAGUAUUCAAUUGUCAGAGGUGAAAUUCUUGGAUUUAUUGAAGACUAACUUCUGCGAAAGCAUUUGCCAAGGAUGUUUUCAUUAAUCAAGAACGAAAGUUAGGGGAUCGAAGACGAUCAGAUACCGUCGUAGUCUUAACCAUAAACGAUGCCGACUAGGGAUCGGACGAUGUUAAUUUUUCUUGACUCGUUCGGCGCCUUACGGGAAAC
rnacentral:rRNA from 1 species